GAUAAACAAGGCAUUUAUUGUCACUUGUUAUUUACUAGAGCAGAUUCUGUGCAACUUUUGACUUUUUUCUUCCACUUUCACAGCAUAAACAAAGAGAUCAGUGACUUUUUCUUCUAAAAAAAAAAAAAAAAAGACUGGGCAGAGUGGAUCAUGCUGACAUCACUCUCCUGUUCUUUUCAGUGCUGAAGGAGCUGUAAACUGAUGGUAUAAUCUCAACGGCUAAAGGAAGUGGGAGAGGCAGACGUCAGCAGGAUGCUCCACAGAGCAAUGGAAAACGAAGGGCAACCAAACAAGAUGAGCUCUUCUGAGUGUGGAGAACAUCCAGCUAAUCAAACCCACUAAUUUAAACCAACAUGAGAGAAUAAGGUUGUGUGUAUUUUUAAAGGACCAGAUUGUGUGUGUCCACUGAACUGGAUAGGUGCAGCUCUGUCUAAUAGUUCCAGAGCAGGUGAGCUCAAAGGAAGAAAGGUUGAAGUCUCAAGUCAAUGUACAGGUACCUCUGGGACGGAAGGUGACUACAAACUAUUCCACAACACUCUGCUUAUGGAGCAAGGAGAAUGGUGACUGAGGACAUUGCAGAAAACCCUGCUUUUAGUAAAACUGAAAGCAAUGAAACAUUGAACCAGACUCAUGAAAGUUGUCAGGAGGAAUAAGCACAGCUCUGGGCAGUGUAUCUGCAUGGAUCGGAGAUGGUCCACGACUGGGGCUCCUCAGCACUAUGGGAGGAGCACCCACCUACAGAAGGCUUCAUCAGAUGCUGAUAGGAUGUCCAGUUUGUAGAAUCUGAAGGUGGUAUGAAUAAAUGUCCA